CCUGCCGCUGCGCCCCAUCCCCUCCCCGCCUCUCCCCCCACCACCUUAUCUGUUGCCGCAUCAAGAUAUUAAGUUCGCCGGCGGGGCAGAUCAAGUUGGAUCCCGGUCUUCCACCCACACCGCCGGUCUCCGGUACGCUUGCUCGUCCAUCUCGCCCCGGCUUCUUGCACCGCCGCUGCUCCACCAGUCGGAUCCGUGCCGGAUCGACCCCGUCCUGGUCCGUCUGCGUGGCUCCUCGAUCUGCCGUCGCUGUGGCUCCGCCUGGAUCGGUCGAUUCGCUGCCGGCCCGGUCGAUCCCCCGCUGCAGUGGCUAUACCUGGAUCCUCCCUGUGUCGGCUGGCUCUCACGCGUGGCCGCCGCCUCUCUUGUCGCCGUCGCCAGCUUGUGCUGCUCCGCCGAGGCCACCGCGGGUGCUGAUCUCCUCCAACGCUGCCUCGGCUCAUCUGCGUCUUGGCCGGCCCAUUGCUCCACACUGGCUCCCCGCACCUCUGCUCUCUAGUGCUCAACAUUGCCGAAUGUUUUCUGCUACCUUGUCCUUCACUGCAGAGGACAGAUGAAACCACAACAAUUGUUUGGAGGGAUGAAGGCCUUGAUGAUUAUCCAGUGAACCGUAUAUCAUUGAAGGAGCUUCGCAGUCAAGUGAUGUAUGCUUUUCCUUUUACCCGAACUAAGAGUUCAAGCAAACAAAAAUAUGUUUUUUGUGUGUGAAUUAGUCCGCAUUAUGGUUUUAUUGCAUCAAUGUUUUCGGGAUUGUUGCAAAUGCUCUUGAUACCAUGUUCCAAAAAGGGGAUCGGGUUGCAAUAGACAUGCCUAUGACAUGCAAUGCAAUCAUCAUAUAUUUGGCAAUCAUCCUUGGUGGUUUUGUUGUUGUACCAAUCUCAGAUAGUUUUGCUCCUCAGGAGAUCGGUACUCGAAUGAAUGUCUCAAAAGCAAAGGCAAUUUUUACUCAGGUGAGACAUGGAGCCAGUCUUUCAUGAUAUAUCCUUUUAGUACUAUAGUGGGGCUUAUUCUAAAAUUCACAAGAUUUCAGUAUUUGAUAGUUAGAGGAGGGAAAAAAGUUCCACUUUACAGGUAUGAUUGAUCUAUUUACUUUAGUUUGGUUUUGUGUUCUGCUAAUUUGGCUUGCUUAAAAUUUUUGAAGGCAAGAACCCGAGCAAACAAGUUGUUCGUUAGUCUUCAGUUUUGUACUAGAGAACUAGAUAUUGAACUAAGAAUGAACCAUCGACUCAUUUUCUUGUACAUGUUUGUGCCUAAUAUGUAAAUGUUGUACUCUGCAAUCAAGUAUGGUUUUAUCCUGUGAAACAUUAUGCUUGUAUUGUUUAAAGAAUUCUUUACUCAUGCUUUUGCUUAACUGAUCUGAAGUACUGAACAGCCAUAGACUCACAGUUUAUAGUAAUUCUAUUAUAUUGCUGUGUUGUGCAAGGGACUUCAUUGAAAGCUAUUGUAAUUCCUGCAAGUAGAGGCUAUCAUUUUCUUGUGGAAGAACUUGACUGUUGAGGAAAGUAAAAGGCUUGCCCGUGAAAAUGCAAAAAAACAUAAUAGCAUGUGGAUUCGAUGUUGAAAUAGACCAGGUUUGGACAAGCAGAUGGAGAAAACAAGCAUACAAUGAAUGAAAAUCAUCGGCUCUUUCCUCCAACAAGCAAACCAAUACAGCCCAAGAAGUAAGCUCAGCUGAACUAAAAAGCCAGCAGACAUCUACAAAUGCGGCUAUGAGCUGAAGCUCUUCAUUUCCACCUUCUAGCUUACAAUUUCCUCAUGCACUAUUAGUUGUGUGUCUUUCUUUUCAUGCCAAUCUGGAUGAACAAUGUUGUGUGUCAGUUAUCUCGAUGUGGUCGUGUAGGUCUGUUUUUAACUUUGGAAGGCCAAUUUGGGUCCAUGUCAACAUGACGCCAGCAUUAGGACUGAAAUGUGAAAUUAACUUCUUAGCUCAUGCUUGUUUGAUCUCUGUUUUAGCUCAUGCUUCGUAGCUCAUUUAGAUGCUUGCAAGAUUCAGGUUCACACUCAAGAUUCGUUUCUUUGCUACUUUAAUGGUUCAUCGGAUUCCAAAUUUCCAAUGUUAAUCCGAUAUUCAGAUAGGAUUUGUGUGCCUACAGCUAUAACUGUAUAGUGGAUCGCUCGAUGAUUCAUAUCAAAUAUGCUCAUAGCUAAAAAGCUUCCGUGUCUUUAUUUUUUCUUUUAGCAAAGACCAAAGACCAUCAUUUCAGAGGCGGAUAUAUUGGAUGCUUGAUCCGUAAGAGUUCUUUACUUUUUUUUUAUUCUUUCUUGUUCUGAGAAUCUUCAUAUCGAUUUUUCUCAUGCUCUGGGUCUCUUCAUUCACGGAGCAACUUAUGACCAUUUUAUCUUCACCACACUACACCAUGUUGUAUUUUUAUCUCGUGCUAUGCGAUAAUAUUUUUUUUCUUUCUUUUUUGUAUUAGCUCAUUAUUACAAGUUAUGUAUAUCUUUCUACUAUGAUACCAG